UAGCAUAUUAUAGAGUCAACAAAAGAGCCAUAAAAAGACACUGCCAUAAAAAGACACUUUUGUCCAGUGUCUUUUUAUGGCUCUUUUGUUGACUCUAUAAUAUGCUA